rnacentral:rRNA from 1 species
GACAGCAGUCGCCGCGGUAAUACGUAGGUGGCAAGCGUUGUCCGGAAUUAUUGGGCGUAAAGGGCUCGCAGGCGGUUUCUUAAGUCUGAUGUGAAAGCCCCCGGCUCAACCGGGGAGGGUCAUUGGAAACUGGGAAACUUGAGUGCAGAAGAGGAGAGUGGAAUUCCACGUGCAGCGGUGAAAUGCGUAGAGAUGUGGAGGAACACCAGUGGCGAAGGCGACUCUCUGGUCUGUAACUGACGCUGAGGAGCGAAAGCGUGGGGAGCGAACAGGAUUAGAUACCCCCGUAGUCCCUGUCUCUUAUAC